rnacentral:lncRNA from 1 species
CUUAAUUAACAAAGAGAGAGAAUCCAUAUCUCAUUCAUUGUCCUGGAGAGGUGGGUGCUCCUACCUGGAAGAAAAGUAAGAUGCCUGCGGUUCUUGAAGAAGCUAGGAGGUGGAUACUGAGAGAAGGGAAAGAAGGGAAAGGAAAGAACCAAAGGAAAAAGACUCUCAUCUGAAUGCUGAGAAACAUGGGCUGGAUGAAGGGCCUGGCAGGCAGAUUGGAGGCCCUUUGACCUUCUGGACUCAAAAAAGUCAUACAGAGUAGGAGGAACCUAUGGAACGUGCCUGUUACAAUUCCAUGAAAGAACCCACGCAGAAGGUGAAACGCUGGCCAAUUCCAUCCACUGCAGAUGUGUUAGGGAGAUUUCCCUGGCCCUGUCUACUGCUAGCCUUUUCUCUCCAGACAAGGAGCAAUGGUCUAAAACUUAAAUGUAGGAAGGUCCAUGCAAACAUGCAGAAGAACUUCUUUAUGGUAAAGGUGAUGGUGCCUGGAACAGGUUGCCCAGAGAGAUUGUAGAGUCUUCUUCUACGGAGAUAUUCAAUACCUGCCUGGAUGCCUACCUGUGCGACCUGCUGUAGGGAACCUGCUUUAGGAGGGGGGUCAGACUCCAUGAUCUCUUGAGGUCCCUCCCAUCCCCUGCAAUUCUGUGAUUCAG